UCAAGGUGGGUAACAAAGACCCUUCAGCAUGCAAUAGGAGCUCCUCCUGGAGGGUUUCCAUCGCCAUCGUCAUCGUCAUCAUCAUCGUCCUUGUGGAACUUCAACACUGCGCCUAAUAUUGGACCAAACGCAGUGCUCUUGUUUUUCUUCUUGGGUGGUUGUUGUUUCUUUUGCUGAAGAAGCUGCAAAAGUCAAUUCCUUAAUCUUGAGAAAAUUAAUUGGAUCCACACAUAUAUACAGACUAUGAUAUCUGUACGAAUAAACUAAGUUCCAAGAAAUUAACUAGUGGAAAAUAUAUACAAGGCUUACCUUCUUAAGUGCUGCUCUCAUUUCACUGCUAAACAUAUCUUUGUUUGCCUUACCAUACUCCAUUAGUUCUUUUGCAUUCAUGGUCUCCAGCCUUGCCAGCUGCCAACCAUGUCAUUGUAUACAGAAAUGAUGAGCAAGUAUAUAUGAUACAGUUGUGCUAAAAAUAAAUUAAAUAUAUGUUCUUUUGAUUCCUAGCUAAGAAAAGGUGCUGCCUCGGUCGAACGUUGUUUGUGAAACAACGAGAUUGUAAACAACUAAACAUUGAGACACUCUCCCAAGUAACCAAAAGUACAAAUAACAAAAUUGAUUAUAUAUCAUGAUACCAUUUACCCAUGCUUUGAAUUCCUUGAUGUGCCCCCUUACUGAAUUAUCUUCAUUAUCACCUGCAGCCAUAUCAAACAACAGGAUGAUUGCCGGGCAAAUGCCUCCUUUAGAAACUACAGGAUGAUCACUGUUUUGGUGAGGGCUUGUUGUUCUAGUUUCCAAGAACCUUAAGAAUGAUGAGUUUUAUUUAUAGGAGAACUUCACCAUCAGGUUAGUCUCACUACUUAUAUUUUUAGCACAAAAUAUAGAUUAGUUAAAGCAAAAGGCUACUUUGAUUGUUUCUUGUGAGAAGAUAUGAGCUAUUGCUAAAAACUACUUUACAGUAUGCCAACGAAAACUGUGGGAGUUUUCACUGGAUUUCAGGGCUAGUUUCAUAUUGGUUUCAUAUUGUACACUCCGAAGGUAAUAACAGCUGCAUGAUCAUGUCCGUAACCACACACGAGCAUUAUGACCUGAAUUCUUACAUCUGCAAGAUGGCUCUUUAGCACGAUACUUUCUUUGUGAUGAACUAAAGAAGUUAAACAGAUCAUGGUUUUUCUUGGGAUAUGUACAUGUUCCUCGUCCCUUCCGCACAACCCCAACUUUCCCUUUUCCUUAAUAUCUGCUCGUAAGUAGUAACUGCUGCGGUGCUGCCUUAUCCUCAGAAAAGAUAAGGUGGUGCUAGUUGUUAUCUUCUCCCAUAUUAAUUGCUUUUCUUAAGUAGCUGAUGUUUUAUUGCCAAGGCAAAAACCCUCUAGAACAAGUCAUGCCAUUAAAAACUGCCAAAGAUUAUGCAGACUAUACAAUGAUGUUGGAUGUGCUGUUUCCACGUAUUACAUUAGUAAAAGUUAUUUUUGAGUAUAUAAAUAAAUAUAUUUCAGGAAAAGAACACUUGCAGAUGCAUGUAAAAGGUGCCACUGGGUUCUUUUGAAUUUCCAAAGUGUCUCCUGAAACCUUUGAAAUUUUAGCCAGAUUCUAGGAGGGAGUUCGCAUGGUUUCUUGGCCUAAAUAAAAAAUUAAGCUACUCACUGUUGUUCUAGCACAUUCUAAAUUCAAGGAAGCUAAUGUUUAGGGUACACAAUUAUGUCCAUUUCAGUGCUAAUAGUAACUAUAUACAAUGUCUAAUGUUAUUUUAGACACUUCUUGUGUCUUCAACAUGCAAAUAGACUACAAACUUUUCCACAAAAAAUUUGCAUGUUCCUACGUAAUAUUCUACAGAUGAGAAUAGCCUUUCUCACUUAAAAUUCGAAUGAAUGGAACAUGAGAGGUCUAGAUCUUUUUUCAUGGAUCUUUGUCACCUAUGCAUGCGGGGUCUAGAUCUACAUAUAAAAAUAGCAUUGCUCAGAAAUAGAUACGAGGACAAUUCACAUCCGCCCCGUCAACUCUAUAAUUUGUUUUUUAGUAUAAAUGUUUGUGUGAGGCAAAUACGACCCAGCGAUUACGUUUGUGUUCACUGCACAGGUGGUUUGCCUUUCAUAUCACUACCCAAACACUAUGUUUCAAAUCACAACAAACAACAUCUUAGUAUGUGAAAGAAGAGAAGAACCUUAGAUGUGCAUAGGCUUCAGGUCAUGAUAGGCUUGACAACUAUCAUCAGCGCGGCAACCACCUGGAACACAUGUUUGUACACUGCAACAAUAUGUCAUUACUAGCAC
rnacentral:lncRNA from 1 species